AGGUUGUCUGGCAAGGAUCAACAAACAAUUUGUCAGAGCUUAAAGAGUUUUGAAAAGAAUGAUAGGUAAAUGUUGCACAAUAGAGGUGUGGAAAGAGACUUCCCCAGUAAGACUCACAGCUGUAAUUGCUGCCGAAGGUGCUUCUAUAGUUGGUGGGAAUACUUAUGUAAAACUUCCUGUCAAUUGAAUUGUGCACAGAGUUUCUACAUAGAGAUGCAAAUCUGUUGAUGAUUUCACACCAUUUAAAUUAAGUUACCUAAUUUCAGAAAUGAUGGUGGUAUUCUUAAUUUCACAUACAUUUUAACUAACCCUCUCCCGCAUCUCAAAAUAAUUAACAAUCUCUGACUAACACUCUUCCCAGUCCUAAUAGUGAUUAUCUUUGUUCCAGAUAUCCCCUUAAUUGAUGGUGUGGAAGAGGCAGACAAUGAGAGAGACCAUAGUACAGACUCGAACGAUAUCCCCUUAAUUGAUGGUGUGGAAGAGGCAGACAAUGAGAGAGACCAUAGUACAGACUCGAACGAUAUCCCCUUAAUUGAUGGUGUGGAAGAGGCAGACAAUGAGAGAGACCAUAGUACAGACUCGAACGAUAUCCCCUUAAUUGAUGGUGUGGAAGAGGCAGACAAUGAGAGAGACCAUAGUACAGACUCGGACGAUAUCCCCUUAAUUGAUGGUGUGGAAGAGGCAGACAAUGAGAGAGACCAUAGUACAGACUCGAACGAUAUCCCCUUAAUUGAUGUGGAAGAGGCAG